AGAUACACCCGGAUGGAAAGAGGAAGGUGGGAGUGGGUCGGAGCAGCAGCAGCAGCAGGAGGAGGAGGAGAACGUGGAGGGCUGUAUUUCAACCGGGCGCUAUGAUUCCCCCUCUGCGAGGGUUGUGAGGCUUUGCUGCUUUUGUGCACCUCUCUGGGACCCAUGGCCUUGAACAGGAGGAGUGAAGUGUUCCAGAAGAAAGUCCUGGAAAAACUAUUCCCCGCUCCUGUACUUCCGGAUGUAAUUUCUUCAAGUGUAGAAAGCACUGCUGUUUUGAAAGAUGCAGUUGCAACUCAGGAAGAGCCAAAAAAUGUGGCAGCUUUGGAAAAAGAUUCUAGGGUCCAAGACAAGACAAGUGUGAUUCUACCUUCAAGAAAAAUAUACACUGUGACUCUGCCUCCUGAAGGUUAUGUACCAGUUGCUACUAAUGAAAACAGUAAAGGAUCUUCUGGAAGUGGUGCUGAGGACAGUAAUACUGGUGCUCCAGGAGCCAUGGCAGUGCAGUGGUUAGAAUGCAGUAUUGCAUGCAGACUCUGCCCAACAGCCAGGAGUUUGAUCUCUGUCUUCCAUCCUUCCAAGUUCGGCAGAAUGAGGGUGAAAAUAGAAGUUAACGAAAACAUGGGUGGCUGCCAAAAUCUGCCUCCCUGCUGUGUGUUCUGGCAGCAACCACUACUGCCUGGGAUAAGAAAAGAGGAGAAUGAUAAAGGACAACUUCCAAGAAAGCGACGGAGGAAAAAACGGAAGAAUGUUUGUCAAACUCCUGCUGAUGGACAUGGAAGUCCAGCAAGAUGUGGAGGGCGUGAAAACCCGAUUGGAGAUAACUUGCAGCUGCAACACAGGGACAGUCCAAACUUGACUCAAAACCAAAAGAGGAAGAUGAAAAAGAAGCGGCGGAAAGAAAAAAUGAGAGCAGCUGGCUUACUAGGAAAACCCGUUGCUACCGAAUUCACAUAUAUGCCUGAAGAAAAGAGAGAGAGAGAGUUUGAAGUUGCAGAUAAAGUAGAUGACAUACUGGAUUUUUUGCAAGCAACACAGGAAAUCUAUUUUUCUGACAAGCUAUCAAACAGUGCAGAGUCAGCUGAGAGCUCCGGAAGCAUCCAUGAGGUUUUAAAGAGUCUUGAAUCUGGCAUGUUGUCAUCAUCAGAUAUUACACGUCUUCGUCAAAUGAAAUCAUUCGUCCUUCUGCAGAAUGUGGAGGAACUAAAUAUUGCCCUGAAAGAUCUCAGCACACAUUCAGAGAUGCCUCAUGAUCAAGUCACGGCAAUCUCUUCUUUGUUUCGCUACUGGAUUACAGAUAUCCUUCCUGGAAAGAAGGACAGGAAAUGAGCCGAAUGAGAAUCUCCAUCUGUACAGAGCUAAAAUCUAAACCUCUGAAUUAAAUCUGAGAAUAUUUGGGGAGAAAUAUGUCUUUGAACAGAAUACAGGUUCACAGAGACACUAUUAAUUCUUUUAUUUUAUUUUUUGGCUGGGGGUUUGUUUGUUUGUUUGUUUGUUUGUGACUGGCUGAAUCUGCAAGGGCCUUUCAUGUUUAGUGCACCCAGAGAUCUCAGACAAUGGCCUCAGGGAUGUCCAUCUCACUUUUUAUUUCAAGAAAUUUGGAGUGCCCACCUUACAAGCCAGCAAGUUCCAGCAUUGAUUUAAGAUGUUGGCUAACAACAUGGACCGCAAGAGCUGUGACUUGGACUAGAGAAGCCUGAUGUUCUUUUUCUCAGCUUAAUUCACUUUGAACAAAGCUCAGAAACUCUUUUGAUUGAUCGGUCCACGGGCAAGCUGAGAAACUUCGGAGACCAAUUUACAGGCAGCAGAGAGAAACAUACUGUCUGGUGUGCAAAGACAGGAAAACUUGAGAAGAUUGGCUUUCCCCAUCAUAUCUCUGCUGUUGUUUUUUAAAAUACUCACUGUAGGAGCAGAAUAAAAGGAAGAUUUUCUGAAACCAGAGGAAUAAGGAAUGCAGAGUGUGGAUUGGGAGUAUUUAGUUUAGUUGAGUAUUAGUGACAACGUCAGAGUGGAAGCAUAUUGCGCUACAAAGGAAAGGAGGUCAUGGAGGAAAAGUGACAGGAUUUGGCCUUGAUCAUUGUCAAGACCGCGAGAUACAUAUUAGA